UACGUAGGGGGCUAGCGUUGUCCGGAAUCACUGGGCGUAAAGGGCGCGUAGGCGGCUUUAUAAGUCGGGGGUGAAAGCCUGUGGCUCAACCACAGAAUUGCCUUCGAUACUAUAUGGCUUGAGACCGGAAGAGGUAAGUGGAACUGCGAGUGUAGAGGUGAAAUUCGUAGAUAUUCGCAAGAACACCAGUGGCGAAGGCGGCUUACUGGUCCGGUUCUGACGCUGAGGCGCGAAAGCGUGGGGAGCAAACAGG
rnacentral:rRNA from 1 species